rnacentral:rRNA from 1 species
UGGGGAAUAUUGCACAAUGGGCGCAAGCCUGAUGCAGCCAUGCCGCGUGUAUGAAGAAGGCCUUCGGGUUGUAAAGUACUUUCAGUCGGGAGGAAGGUGUCAAGGUUAAUAACCUUGGCAAUUGACGUUACCGACAGAAGAAGCACCGGCUAACUCCGUGCCAGCAGCCGCGGUAAUACGGAGGGUGCAAGCGUUAAUCGGAAUUACUGGGCGUAAAGCGCACGCAGGCGGUUGAUUGAGUCAGAUGUGAAAUCCCCGGGCUUAACCCGGGAAUUGCAUCUGAUACUGGUCAGCUAGAGUCUUGUAGAGGGGGGUAGAAUUCCAGGUGUAGCGGUGAAAUGCGUAGAGAUCUGGAGGAAUACCGGUGGCGAAGGCGGCCCCCUGGACGAAGACUGACGCUCAGGUGCGAAAGCGUGGGGAGCAAAGAGG